rnacentral:rRNA from 1 species
UACAGAGGGUGCUAGCGUUGUUCGGAAUCAUUGGGCGUAAAGGGCGUGUAGGCGGUUUUGUUAAGUCAUGUGUGAAAUCCCUCGGCUCAACCGGGGAACGACGCAUGAAACUGGCAAGCUAGAGUACCAAAGAGGCGAGUGGAAUUCCUGGUGUAGCGGUGGAAUGCGCAGAUAUCAGGAGGAACACCAAUAGCGAAGGCAGCUCGCUGGGACGGGUAUGACGCUAAGGCGCGAAAGCGUGGGGAGCAAACAGG